rnacentral:lncRNA from 1 species
UUGAAGUUGAAGCAAAAACAAUCAGCUUCUUCUUUGAUUAAGGUAGAAGAUUAAACCAGUUGACCCCAUCGCCGGACCUCCCACCAGCGUCACCCAUGACUUCACCUUCUUCAACCAUCAACACACCCAUAUGCGCCUUCACCCCAACCCGCCAGAAACCAGCUCCACCCCUUAAAAUCCCGACGCUCAAAAGGCAUCGGAUAUCCCUUUCCUCUUCUUCACUUCUCAACUGCUUUUAGGACCAACUUCAUACCAAAGAUUUAUAGCUGUGUUUCUACCAUUUCACACUUAAAAACAAGAAGAAAAAAAAUCAAAGAGCAUCAUUUGAUCAGAUAAAAAAGAGAGUGAUAGGUUAUGUUCAUAUCGUUCAACAUUUUAGCUUCUUUUUCUGAGUUUUAGAUUCCGAAAGCAUGGAUUCUAAUGGAUAUUGAUUGAGUUUGUUUUGUUUUGAACUUUUCGGUGCCGAUCCGAGUUUGUGUCGCGGUUCGUUAUGUUUCGUUCAAAGCAGUAAACAAUCAAUUUUCAGCUAAUUAAGGUCCAUUUCUCUUUCUCUGCCUAAUUUGACAUCUUUUCAG